rnacentral:rRNA from 1 species
AUUGAACGCUGGCGGCAUGCUUUACACAUGCAAGUCGAACGGUAACAGGUUAAGCUGACGAGUGGCGAGCGGGUGAGUAAUGCAUCGGAACGUGCCCGGUCGUGGGGGAUAACGCAGCGAAAGCUGCGCUAAUACCGCAUACGAUCUGAGGAUGAAAGCGGGGGACCGUAAGGCCUCGCCCGAUCGGAGCGGCCGAUGUCAGAUUAGGUAGUUGGUGGGGUAAAGGCUCACCAAGCCAACGAUCUGUGGCUGGUCUGAGAGGACGACCAGCCACACUGGGACUGAGACACGGCCCAGACUCCUACGGGAGGCAGCAGUGGGGAAUUUUGGACAAUGGGCGAAAGCCUGAUCCAGCAAUGCCGCGUGCAGGAGGAAGGCCUUCGGGUUGUAAACUGCUUUUGUACGGAGCGAAAAGGUCUCCUCUAAUACAGGGGGCUCAUGACGGUACCGUAAGAAUAAGCACCGGCUAACUACGUGCCAGCCGCCGCAGUAA